rnacentral:rRNA from 1 species
GAUGAACGCUGGCGGCGUGCCUAAUACAUGCAAGUCGAACGAACAGACGAGGGCCUUGCUCCUCGGACGUUAGCCGCGGACGUGUGAAUAACACGUGGAUAACCUACCUAUGAGACUGGGAUAACUUGGGGAAGCCGGAUCUAAUACCGUAAAAUAUAUUGAUCCACGUGGUUCAAUAGUUAAAUACGGUUUUGCUGUCACUAGUAGGUGGAUCCGCGCCGCAUUAGCUAGUUGGUAAGGUAACGGUUUACCAAGGCAACGAUGAGUAGCCGCCCGGAGAGGGGGAUCGGCACAACGGGAACGGAGACACGGUCCAGCUUCCUACGGGAGGAAGCAGAAGGGAACCUCCGGAAAUGGGCGAAAGCUGGCCGGAGAAAGGCGGCUUGAGGGAUGAAGUUCUCCGGACCGUAAAAUUCUGUUAAAAGGGAAGAAGAAUUGUGGAAGUAACUAUGCACGUCUUGACGGUAUCUAAUCAGAAAGCGACGGCUAACUACGUG